rnacentral:rRNA from 1 species
GAUGAACGCUGGCGGCGUGCCUAAUACAUGCAAGUCGAGCGAACGGACGAGAAGCUUGCUUCUCUGAUGUUAGCGGCGGACGGGUGAGUAACACGUGGAUAACCUACCUAUAAGACUGGGAUAACUUCGGGAAACCGGAGCUAAUACCGGAUGAUAUUUUGAACCGCAUGGUUCAAAAGUGAAAGACGGUCUUGCUGUCACUUAUAGAUGGAUCCGCGCUGCAUUAGCUAGUUGGUAAGGUAACGGCUUACCAAGGAAACGAUGCAUAGCCGACCUGAGAGGGUGAACGGCCACACUGGAACUGAGACACGGUCCAGACUCCUACGGGAGGCAGCAGUAGGGAAUCUUCCGCAAUGGGCGAAAGCCUGACGGAGCAACGCCGCGUGAGUGAUGAAGGUCUUCGGAUCGUAAAACUCUGUUAUUAGGGAAGAACAUAUGUGUAAGUAACUGUGCACAUCUUGACGGUACCUAAUCAGAAAGCCACGGCUAACUACGUG